AUUGAACGCUGGCGGCAUGCCUAACACAUGCAAGUCGAACGGUAACAGGCCCUUCGGGCGCUGACGAGUGGCGGACGGGUGAGUAAUGCUUAGGAAUCUGCCUAGUAGUGGGGGAUAACCCGGGAAACUCGGGCUAAUACCGCAUACGUCCUACGGGAGAAAGCGGGGGACCGUUCGGCCUCGCGCUAUUAGAUGAGCCUAAGUCCGAUUAGCUAGUUGGUAGGGUAACGGCCUACCAAGGCGACGA
rnacentral:rRNA from 1 species